rnacentral:rRNA from 1 species
CAUCACUACGCUAGAUGCAUAUCAAUAAGCGGAGGAAAAGAAACUAACAAGGAUUCCCCUAGUAACGGCGAGUGAAGCGGGAAGAGCUCAAAUUUGAAAUCUUAAAGGGUUUCCCUUUACGAAUUGUAGUUUAAAGAAGUGUUUUCUGUUGGAGUUUCGGUAAAAGUUCUUUGGAAUAGGACAUCAUAGAGGGUGAGAAUCCCGUAUUUGACCGUUACUUUCCAGCUGUGUGAUACACUUUCAACGAGUCGGAUUGUUUGGGAACGCAGUCCAAAAUGGGUGGUAAAUUUCAUCUAAAGCUAAAUAUUGGCGAGAGACCGAUAGCGAACAAGUACCGUGAGGGAAAGAUGUAAAGAACUUUGAAAAGAGAGUUAAACAGUACGUGAAAUUGUCAAAAGGGAAGCGUUUGACACCAGUGUUGUUUUUCCGAAAAUCAAUUACGAAUGUUUUAUUUUUGAGGAAGUUAUGACUUCAUCGGCUUGCUUCCUCUUCUUUACGAAACUUUCUUAAUGCACUUUUCGGUUAACAAGUCAACAUCAAUUUCUUUUGUUGUAAAAGGGUAUGAGGAAGGUGGCUUUCUUUUCGGAGAAAGUGUUUAUAGCCUUGUACCUCUGCGAAUCGGAGAGAUUGAGGUCUGCAGCGUAGAUCCUUCGGGGUUAGAUACAUUUGUGCUAAGUUAUAGCUUUUCAUAGACAACUUGUUGACUAUGCUUAGUCUUGUAGCUUACUCGCUUAUGCUAUUUUACCUACGCUUAGGAUGUUGAAGAUAUGCGCGACACG